rnacentral:rRNA from 1 species
AUUGAACGCUGGCGGCAGGCCUAACACAUGCAAGUCGAACGAGUGGCGGACGGGUGAGUAAUGUCUGGGAAACUGCCUGAUGGAGGGGGAUAACUACUGGAAACGGUCGCUAAUACCGCAUACCAUCAGAUGUGCCCAGAUGGGAUUGGCUUGUUGGGGGGGUAACGGCUCACCAAGGCUACGAUCCCUAGCUGGCCUGAGAGGAUGACAAGCCAAACUGGAACUGAGACACGGGCCAGACGCCUACGGGAGGCAGCAGUGGGGAAUAUUGCACAAUGGGCGAAAGCCUGAUGCAGCCAUGACGCGUGUAUGAAGAAGGCCUUCGGGUUGUAAAGUACUGUCAGCGGGGAGGCGUUACCCGCAGAAGAAGCCCCGGCGAACUCCGUGCCAGCAGCCGCGGUAAUUC